AUGCAGGACAAAAACUAUACUUUAUUUCAUCAAAUGGUGAAAUCAACUAAUUCCUUUAAUCACCUCUGGCACAGGUGGAACAAUGCUGUCCUUGGUGCUGAAGACAUUGUCCUUCUUGGGGAAGCAGGCAAUGAGCCAGAGGAGAGGCAGAGAAUAGACAUGACUGUGCUCCAAAGCUUCUCCUGUGAUCUGUGGCUUUUUCUAGACUGUGGUUCAAGGGGAAUUGGCAAAGAACAUCCAAGGAGAAGACAUCUGAUAUCAGGUCAUUAGCAAGUGACUGUGCUACACUUCCCAGAUAACAGUGCCUUAACUCAAUUAAAAUGCCCUGUGAGUCAAAGAAUUUCAGAGCUGAAAAGGAACAUGGAAAUCACCACACCCAACCCCCUCAUUUUACAGAUAAGGAAUCUUUGGGCUAGAGAGGUUAAGUAACUUUAUGAAAGCCACAGUGACAGAGGUGAGACUAGAACCCAGGAUUCUUGACUGCUAAUUCAUUGUCCUUCCCAUUGUGCCAUCCUGUCUCCCUUGUACCAUCCUUUAGUCUUUAAAAGUCUUUAAAGAAUUAUUCUUUCUUUGGAAAAAUUUAGAUUGUUUUUAGCAUUCUUUUCUUUUAAAAUUUUGAGUUUCAAAUUCUUUCCCUCCUUCCUGCCCCCUUCCAUGCCCAUCAAGAAGGCAAGCAAUACACUAUCAAUUAUACAUGUGAAAUCAUGCAAAACAUAUUUCCAUAUUAGCCAUAUUUUUAGAAGCAUGAAAAGUAAAGAAAGUGAGAAAAUUGUACUUCAGUUUGCAUUCAGAGUUCAUCAGUUCCCCCUCUGAAGUUGGAUAUCAUUUUUUCAUCAUGAGUCUUUUGGAAUUGUCUUGGGUUAUUCUAUUGAUCAGAGUAGCCAAGUUAAAGAAUGAUUUUUAAUGCUGUUAAUUUCAUGCAUAUGAUAAGGAUAAGUUUGUGUAGGGUGGCCUUUUGGUACUUUUCAAAUUAUCCCAAGGGGGCAAGCUGCCUAGUCUUAUGGGAAAAGCCCUUUCAGUGAAAGAUAAUAAUUGGGUCUCAUACAUCCUCUUCAAUUCAUCUAUGUAGAAGCAGAAGUAUUUUCUCUUUCUUCUUGACAUGAAUUACAUCCAAGGAAUAGGUUAGAAAUUGGUGAUGGGAGGAAUGAGGGAGGCAGGGCAACCCACAGCAUAGAGUCCAAAGAAUGACACCACCACUUUCUGCCAUACCCCACCCCUCUCUCUCCUUUCCUUUCCUUUCCUCCCCUUUCAUCUUCAUCUCAUCUUUCUUUUAC
rnacentral:lncRNA from 1 species